ACUAGUGAUUGGACGGGGUGCAGCAGGCGCGAAACCUUUACAAUGCACGCAAGUGUGAUAAGGGAACCCUGAGUGCUUUGCUUUUAGUAAGGCUUUUGUCAAGAGCAAAAAUCUUGGCGAAUAAAUGGUGGGUAAGACUGGUGCCAGCAGCCGCGGUAACACCAGCGCCAUAAGUGGCAAUCACAAUUAUUGGGCCUAAAGCGUCCGUAGCCGGUCUGAUCAGUCUUUUGUGAAAUCGUUGUGCCUAACAUAACGGUGUGCAAGAGAUACCGUCAGACUUGGAACCGGAGAGGAGUCGGAGGUAUUCUGAGGGGAGCGGUAAAAUGCUAUAAUCCUCGGAGGACCACCUGUGGCGAAAGCGUCCGACUAGAACGGCUUCGACGGUGAGGGACGAAAGCCAAGGGAGCGAACCGGAUUAGAUACCCGAGUAGUCUUGGCUAUAAACGCUGCGAGCAAGGUGUUACACAUUCUCUAUGGAUGUGUAGUGUCGAAAUGAAGAUGUUAAGCUCGCCGCCUGGGAAGUAUGGUCGCAAGGCUGAAACUUAAAGGAAUUGGCGGGGGAGCACCACAAGGGGUGCGGCGUGCGGUUUAAUCUAAUUCAACGCAGAAAAUCUCACCAGGAGCGACGGCAGGAUGAAGGUCAGUCUAAAGGGCUUACUUGACGAGCCGAGAGGUAGUGCAUGGCCGUCGUCAGCUCGUGCUGUAAAGUGUCCUGUUAAGUCAGGCAACGAGCGAGACCUGUAUCCACAAUUGCUAACAACUCUUUUAAGAGAAUUGAGCACAUUGUGGGAACUGCCCUCGAAAGAGGGAGGAAGGUGCAGGCUACGGUAGGUCUGUACGCUCCGAAUCUUCUGGGCUACACGCGCGCAACAAUGGUAAGGACAAUGGGAUACAACUCCGAAAGGAGGAGUUAAUCCUCGAAACCUUAUCCUAGUUCAGAUUGAGGACUGUAAUUCGUCCUCAUGACGCUGGAAUCCCUAGUAAUCAGACGUCAACAUCGUCUGGUGAAUAUGUCCCUGCUCCUUGCACGAAUUCGCCGAAUCCCGCG
rnacentral:rRNA from 1 species